AAUGCUUAAAAUGUAAAUCUCUGAAAAAAACUCACAAGAAGAAAUAGAUGAUCUGAAUAGACCUUUGUCUAUUACAAAGAAUUGAAUCAAUAACUAAUAACAUAAAACAGAAAGCAAAAGUGGGUUCACUGGUGAAUUCUAUCAAACACUUAAGGAAGAAAGUGUACAAAUGCUAUACAAUCUCCUUCAGAAAAUAGAAGAGAGAAUACUUCUUAACUCAUUCUCUAAGGCCAGUGGUACUCUAAUACCCAAACCAGACAAAGACAUUACAAGAAAGAAAAACAACAGACUGAUAUUUCUCAUAAACAUAGAUAUAAAAUACCUACCACAUAUUAGCACAUAAAAUUCAACAAUGUAUAAAAAAAUCAUGCAUUAUGACCAAGUGAUAUUUGUCGCAGAUAGGCGACUCAGCUUCAUCCUUCUUUCUCAAGAUUGCUUGGCUCUUGGAGCUCUUUUGUGGUUCCAAACAAAUUUUAGGACUGUUUUUUGUCUAUUUCUGUGAAAAGUGUACUGGAAUUUUUGUAGGAAUUGCUUUUAAUCUGUAAAUUGUUUUGGGUAGUAUGGACAUCUUAACAAUAUUAUUUCUUCUAAUCCAUGAGCAUAGAAUAUCUUUCCAUUUAGCCAGACCCUCAGGCAGCAGCUUCUAAAAGAAGUAUACACAGCCCUGCGGGAGGGUGAGUGUAAGCCCCAUUGGCCACCAGAACCAGGCUGUUGUAAAACCUGGGGCUCCAGACACACGUGGAAGCUUUUCUGGGAGAUACCAGUGAGCUGGAGAAAGCGGGAGAGCACCCAGAUGGUCCACAGGUCACAUUGAUUCCAUCUGACUUUGGUUAAUAGUGGCCUUCCAGUAUUAAAGCAAUAUCUCAUUAUGGUUCAGAUUUUCACUUACCUAGUGAUUAGUGAUGUUGAGCAUCUUUUCAUAUGGUUCUUGGCCAGGCAUCUGGGUUUUAAACUGUUACACAGUGCUAAAAUUGUAGCUGUUUUCAGCCAAUCCUCAAGUCAUUUACAAGACUGCCCAUGUCACCUGUUCUUGCCUGGAGAAUCCCAGGGAUGGGGGAGCCUGGUGGGCUGCCGUCUGUGGGGUUGCACAGAGUCGGACACAACUGAAGCGACUUAGCAGCAGCAGCACCUGCAAUUGCUGUUCUAAUGCUGUUGGGUUGGAGACCUUCACUGCAGCCCCAAGCAUUUCUAGUUCAGUCACUGUGUGAGCGAGUGGAUGGACACUCACUCAGAAGGACUUAAAGUCCUCUUUACAGAAGAAGGAAUGCCCUAUUACAUGUGGACAACUCUAGGCCUGUGUGACUCCACCACUCUAUUCUCCCAUCCGUUUAAGGGAGAGAGAAGACCAACUUGACAUAGAUGCUGCGGGAAAGGGGAACACUUCCCAACGCAUGUGAAGCUGGUGUUUCUCUGAUUCCAAAGUCAGACAGAUGCUGUCGGCUGAGGGCCCUCAGACCACCUUCUUGAAACACUUGACUUUGGCAGCGAGAGCAAGACUAGUGAAGCUGCAGCUGGAGUCCCGCUGGAGGCGGGCUGGGGAGGGGCGCAGGCUGCCCGCAGGUCAGUGGGGAAGACCCCAGAACGAGGCUUCCCAGCAGUGUGAAUUCUUGGGUCCCAUGGGUGACGCUGCAGCAGGAGGGGCCUCCUUCAGAAGCAUCUGAGUGCUGUGCAGUGUCUUUUUCCUUCUUUGACGUUUCAUUUGUGUUCUAUUGAGGGACAUGCACCUUCCCACUAGACAGAACAGAACGAAUAGUUGCUCUGCUUUUUCAUCAAAGUAGAGUUUUUCUGGCAGUUUUGCAGUGGUUGACAUGGCUUAACCACUUUCACAAAACUCCUCCCCAUUCUUUUUCCGCCUGUUUUGUCCUGAGGUCUUAGGUUCCCGUGGUCCCCGAGUUCCGCAGCUGUGGGAGGAGAGGGGCUUGUGCUUGCUCCCCGAGCUGUGCUACCUGCUGCGGACAGCAGGGGACCAAAAGCCCCUGAGGUCCCGUCCGCAUCAUCUUGGACGCUCAUCUUCCCACGAAACCUCCCCAGGAGGAGGGGUGACACCAAGAAGAAGGAGAAAAGCUAGAACUGGAGUUGAUGCUGGGACCUGCAGGUGCCAGCAGCCUGGCAUGUGGCCAGACCUGAGGUCUCAGCACCGCCCUCUCUGAUUACCUGGCAUGAGAUGCAGAAUGCCCGGGUGGCUCGGUGUCCAGGACACAAACUCCUCUGAGGAGCUCCCCACCUUGAAGGAGCGGCCAGAUCCCACAUUUUCAGCUCUACACUCAACUUGCAAGUACACUGAGGAUGAGUCAUGUUCACGUAUCACCCAGAUGAGAAAGCACCUUCUCCUCAGACCUCAUCUAUACAGAGGAGUGAUCACUGGUUGCACUGAUCUUUCAAGACCAUUUUUUAUGAUUGCUUAUUUCCUGAAAUGUUUUAUUUUUUAUCAAAAUCACAAUAAUAAUUAUACAAAAUUCAGAAGAAAAUAUCAAAGUGAAAGAAGAAUUUUAAAAAAUUAUCCAUAACCGUGUCAGGUAUAGUAAUAACCACUGUGAAUAUUUUGGUGUUUUUCAUUCAUUUUGUGUAUAUACACAUAUAUUAAAUAUGUGAAAAUAUGGAAUGACAUUAUUACAUUUAUUUGAUAAUCUUCUUCUAAACAUUUCAUCAACAUACACUACAGAAAAAUGCACUACCUCCUU